UGAGAAUAAGAAAUAGACAUAAAUGUUUUCCAACUGAAAGAGAGUAGAAAAACCCUUUUCCAGUUUGUGUUAUCCCUUAUCACUCUCACGGAAGAGCCAAAGGAUUCGAACUUCAACAAACCCUUCUCACUUUCCCCUCACUAUUCAAUGGUACUCAUCUCUUGAAAACAUGAAAGUUAUGACCUUUUCUUGUGGCAUAACAAAACCCAAUUUUCUGAUUUCCCAAACAGAAAUGCCAAUUUUAACUUUUGGUCAUUCCAAGUUGAGUGCUACCCUAGCUCUUCAAUUGCCAUGUAAUUGUGUUAGGAAGAUGAGGUUGAUUACAAAGCUUCACUGUUCAGUUGCUGAUAGGACAUAUAGUUCUAGAACCGGUGAUUCCCGGGGUUCCAAACGGGACUCCGGUGAAAUUCAGAAGAAGCGGGGAGGCCCCUCGUCGUUAUACGUUGGUUAUAUUCGUCCCAGUUUAUCUGAAAUGAAGAAAGAUAAGGCCACAUUACGCGAAAAGGUUUACGAGUUUUUGCGUGGGAUUGGCAUUGUUCCUGAUGAGCUUGAUGGUCUUGAACUUCCUGUUACAGUUGAUGUUAUGAAGGAGCGUGUGGAUUUUCUUCACAACUUGGGGCUUACAAUUGAAGACAUUAACAACUAUCCUCUUGUUCUUGGCUGCAGUGUCAAGAAGAACAUGGUUCCUGUGCUUGAUUACCUUGGUAAAUUGGGAGUAAGGAAAACCACACUAACGCAGUUUUUGCGGAGAUAUCCGCAAGUUCUUCAUGCUAGUGUGGUUGUGGAUCUGGUGCCAGUGGUCAAGUAUCUUCAGGGGAUGGAUAUCAAACCCAAUGAUGUUUCUCGUGUUCUUGAGAGGUAUCCUGAAGUACUAGGAUUCAAACUUGAGGGAACCAUGAGUACAUCGGUUGCUUAUUUGAUUGGAAUUGGUGUUGGAAGAAGAGAAAUCGGAGGUCUCUUAACUAGAUACCCGGAGAUUUUGGGAAUGCGAGUUGGUAGAAUCAUCAAGCCUUUUGUAGAGUAUUUGGAGAGCUUGGGUAUUCCAAGGCUAGCCAUUGCUAGACUGAUAGAGACACAACCUUAUAUUCUUGGAUUCGAUUUGGACGAAAGAGUGAAGCCAAACGUCAAAUCCCUUGAAGAGUUUAAUGUUCGGCGAACAUCACUUGCCUCAGUAAUCGCUCAGUAUCCUGACAUCAUUGGAGCUGAACUAGAGCCAAAGCUAGCCAACAAGAGAAGUGUCCUGAAUUCUGUUAUUGAUUUGGAUCCUGAGGAUUUUGGCUUAAUAGUGGAGAAGAUGCCGCAAAUAGUUAGCCUCAAUAGUACACCUAUGUUGAAGCAUGUUGAUUUUCUUAAGGAUUGCGGGUUUUCCUUGCAGCAAAUGAGGAAGAUGAUUGUGGGAUGCCCUCAACUACUUGCUUUAAACACUGACAUCAUGAAACUUAGCUUUGAUUACUUCCAAAAAGAAAUGGAAAGGCCUUUGGAAGAUUUGGUUACAUUCCCUGCAUUCUUCACUUACGGUCUCGAGUCAACUAUAAAACCUAGGCAUAAGAUGGUUGCCGAGAAAGGAUUGAAGUGUUCUCUGGCAUGGAUGCUUAACUGUUCUAAUGAGAAAUUCGAGCAACGAAUGGACUAUGAUACUAUCGACAUGGAAGAGAUGGAAAUGGAAUCAUCAUUUGACAUGAAUUCACUGAUGCAACCAAGGAGCGACGAGUCAGAUUCUGAUUAUGAAGAAAGUGACGACGAUGACGAGUAAAUUUAUUAGCAUACAUCAGUAACCAGUCUGUUUGGGAGAAUUUCGAUCUGUAUACAGAGAUAGUUUCAAUGCUGUAAUGUACCAUACAAAAGGGUUGGUGUCCACUACCCAAGGGACCUGUGUUGUAUGCCUCCACGACCGUGUGACUGCAUGCGGUCACUUACUCACCACUGUCCUAUCAAAGAUCAAACGGUUCUAAUUUCAAGAUCGAAAUUUUUUAUUUAAAAUAUCAAAAUAUAUGUUAAAGUUUGAACCGUCUAAUUUUGAUUAGACUAUCAAAAUGCAUGUGAUUCCUAUCACCCUGAAUUUUAAUCCAAAUUGAAGUUAAAUAUAGAUUUAUUAUGUAGAGAAUCUUCAAUGGUGCAGCUAAAAUUGAAGUUGCUUUGCCUCUUUUGAUGUAGGCCAUACAAUGUCACAUCAGUUUAACUAUGUUAGUAAUUUUCCAUUUUAAUGGUGGGACUUUUUAA